rnacentral:lncRNA from 13 species
UAUUGGUGAUCAUGAUUUUGGGGAUCAUUAUAUUGAUGAUCAUGAUACUGGGGAUAUUAUUAAUAUUAGCAAUCGUGAUACUGGGGAUAUUGGUGAUCAUGAUACUGGGGAUAUUGGUGAACAUGAUAUUGGUGAUCAUGAUAUUGGGGAUAUUGGUGAUCAUGAUACUGGGGAUAUUGGUGAUCGUGAUAUUGGCGAUCAUGAGACUGGGGAUAUUAGGAAUAUUAGUGAUCAUGAUAUUGGGGAUAUUGGUGAUCAUGAUAUUGGGGAUAUUUGCGAUCAUGAUACUGGGGAUAUUGGUGGUCAUGAUUUAGGGAUAUUGGUGAUCAUGAUAUUGGUGAUCAUGAUAUUGGGGAUAUUGGUGACCAUGAUAUUGGGUAUAUUGGUGAUAAUGUUACUGGUGAUCAUGAUACUGGGGAUAUUGAUCAUUAUAUUAGGGAUAUUGGUGAUCAUGAUAUUGGGGAUAUUUGCGAUCAUGAUACUGGGGAUAUUGGUGGUCAUGAUUUAGGGAUAUUGG